rnacentral:rRNA from 1 species
AACGAACGCUGGCGGCAUGCCUAACACAUGCAAGUCGAACGAGAUCUUCGGGUCUAGUGGCGCACGGGUGCGUAUCGCGUGGGAAUCUGCCCUUUGGUUCGGAAUAACAGUUGGAAACGACUGCUAAUACCGGAUGAUGACGAAAGUCCAAAGAUUUAUCGCCAGAGGAUGAGCCCGCGUAGGAUUAGCUAGUUGGAGUGGUAAAGGCGCACCAAGGCGACGAUCCUUAGCUGGUCUGAGAGGAUGAUCAGCCACACUGGGACUGAGACACGGCCCAGACUCCUACGGGAGGCAGCAGUGGGGAAUAUUGGACAAUGGGCGAAAGCCUGAUCCAGCAAUGCCGCGUGAGUGAUGAAGGCCUUAGGGUUGUAAAGCUCUUUUACCCGGGAUGAUAAUGACAGUACCGGGAGAAUAAGCUCCGGCUAACUCCGUGCCAGCCGCCGCGGUAA